CUACGGGGCGCUGCAGCGAGGAAUUUUGCGCAAUGGGGGAAACCCUGACGCAGCAACGCCGCGUGAGCGAAGAAGGCCCUCGGGUCGUAAAGCUCUGUCAAGUGGGAAAAAGGCCUUUUGAUUAAUACCCAAAAGGUUUGAUGGUACCACUGGAGGAAGCACCGGCUAACUCCGUGCCAGCAGCCGCGGUAAUACGGAGGGUGCAAGCGUUGUUCGGAAUUACUGGGCGUAAAGGGCGUGCAGGCGGUUUGGCAAGUCAGAUGUGAAAGCCCUGGGCUUAACCCGGGAAGUGCAUUUGAAACUGCCUUUCGUGAGUAUGGGAGAGGAGAGUGGAAUUCCCAGUGUAGAGGUGAAAUUCGUAGAUAUUGGGAGGAACACCCGUGGCGAAGGCGACUCUCUGGACCAAUACUGACGCUGAGACGCGAAAGCGUGGGGAGCAAACAGGAUUAGAUACCCGAGUAGUC
rnacentral:rRNA from 1 species